UAACAAAGUCACUUAAUUAAACAGUUUUUUUUUGCAAAUAAUUAUUGGUUUUCUUUCAUUGAUGUUUGUCCUAGGCCUUGCUUGACCUUGGGCAGGCCUCGCGAUUGGUGCAGGUGGCCCUUGACGGCGCUCUGGUGUUGUACAGCUCUUGUCGUCAGUCAUAUUCAGUUAGUUGUUUUAGUGAAGUUUUGACCAUGCAGGGCACGCAUGCACUCACCUUUCCUCUUGGAGAGUGUUAAUAUUCUCGGAUUGACACCCAUUGUUUGUGCAGCUGAUCACCUUACAAUUGACUAUAAUUAUUGGUUCUUACUGAUUGUCUAUCAAACACUGCAGCAGUGUGUGAGAUAGCGAUACAUAAAGGAAAGAAGGUGGUGGCUAUGCAAAUAGCUGAAUGUUGCGCAUUUGUUGUGGUUAAGGGUAAGUUUCCAUCAGGUUGAAAUAUCAGUUUGUAGGGAAUGUUGGCUUUCAGUAAGCCCACCAUGCACCUCUUAAUAAAACGGUGAAUGUUCUGAAAUCUAAUUCCUGUCAUAAUCAUGAUAAUUAUAGAGAACUUGAUCGAGAGACAUCCUGUCUCCUGUGCCAAUCUCAGUCUUUUCCGUAACACAGGCUCCUGUGCUUGCUUCUUUACCUGACUCCAAACGGCUUUGAUAAGCUUUUCUUGUAAGGCAUAACUUAAUAGAGUGUUUGUAUUAGCAGUAUCUAAUUGAGGCUACUAACCUGUCCAAAACUGUAGACAUCUUUAACAGCUUGUUCUUGACUUCUCUGUCUCACAAACUGUUUCACCUUCAACCGUGCUAAAGGCUUGCUAACCAAUAAACAGAACUCUUCAAACUCCUCAGUAAGCAAGAGAAGUACGCUUCCAUCAAUUUCUGCAUCUACACAUUAUUGGUAUAAUUAUAUAACAACUAUUAUCUCAAAAGUAUUAUUAGUAAGCAUUUUUAAUUAGCUCAAAAGUAUCAUUAGUAAGCAGUUUAGUUUUUAUGUACCUCUGAAAGACUAAAUAGUUUCAGAGUUGAUUCCCGAGGCUUGCAACUCAUUGCAGAGUUCUUCAGAGUUCUUCAGCUCAAGUGGUUGUGCCAUAUUGAAUGAUACCUGCAGUCUUAGCUACGCUAGCUAGAGCGCUAUAGCUGCGAGUUAAGUUGUUUGCGCAAUGCAGUAAGGUACACAGCCAAUAAUCCAUGGGCCUGUUUCAGGCCCAUGGGGAAAAUCAGUUAAAUACAGGCCGGAAUACGGGCCUGUAUGCGGAUGUAAUCGCCCACGGCCUGCUUACAUCCUGGAACCACAAGCCCGUUACAGCAUACAGCACGUACAUCCUGUCCUGAAUACGGGUUGGACUAUGUUCACCUUGAUCCAUGUCAAUGACGCCACAAGAUGAAUAAUAAGUACUUUGAACUCAGUGUCACAAGCAUAAAUACACACAUACUUUAGUAUAAUAGUAAACAAAAAGAUGCAAACAAUUUAGCAAAUAAUAAUUUAAUUUAUGUAGUAAGCUUAGACAUGUUAAGUUUUAGUCAAGCUCAAAAUGUGAAACAUUGCUUGGUAUGUGUGGUGGCUCAGGAUACUCUCCAUUCAACGGUGUAAUAACAUCGUAGUGGCACCAGUUGAUGUGGCAUAGCUCAAGAAAAAGGCACCCCACCAAACUCUAUCUGCAAAUCUCCAAUUUUGUACUGCCAGAAGAAUGUUGGACAUUUGCGUACUGACCGAGACUCCAAUGCGCUUGAAGUACUAUUGGGACAGACCUGUACGAGUGUUGUGUAGAUAGCCAGAGUGAAUAUAGCUAGAGUGAAUAUAACUUAUUUUUAUACUCCAUCAUGACAUACUGUGUAAUUACUCUUACAUUUUGACUAACACUGGCAACAGUUGUCCGACAUGAUCGUCUUAAUUGUUCCGAACGUGCUCACUGUUGAUCUUCUAUGAGCUCAAGAAUUUCAUUCAGCCUAGUGCCAUCUGUUAUCCCUUCAUAGUAAAGACCCUUCUGUUGAAGUUCUUUUUGCCAUUCAAAACCAUGAUCAAGCAAACGAUUAAUAUCUACAUGUGGUAUUUAAUAUUUCGCGGCAGCAGUUGGCGCAAGGUUAAAGGUCAAGGAAUGAUGUCAUUGACAUGGAUCGAGGUGAACAUAGCGUUACAAGUGAUUGUGUGCGUGUACAACAGUGUGUAGUGUGUUGUUUUCAUUCAGUGGGUCAAAACUACACACUUUUUGUUGGUUGGGCAUCUGUACGUCAUGUUGUCUAGUCAUGCACAACAGAGCUGAGCAACAUUGUUCAUAAUCUGUGUUCAAGUGCCGGUAACCCAGAGCGCAGAAUUGAAAGAACAAGGAAUUAACGGUGCUGUGUUCAGUCAGCUUACAGAGGACGACUUAAGGGAACUCAUUCCCAACAUAAGACCAAGACUCAGUGUUGUUAUGUUCCUGAGUGAAAUGCGCAAAAAAGGCGAGCCAAGUCAGAGGUUAAGUCCAGCUGCAGCACAAGUCAACAGCAUACACUUCAAAGGUACAUGGAGGGUUGCGCUGAGGAGGGGCAAAAAAGAUUGGUGCCUGGGCAUAUACUUUUGAACGAUUUUCCAGUUCUACCAUGAAAUCUAUUCAAGACGGUAUAAUCACUUCAUCGGCAAGAAUUGAAGUCAUAAGUGCAAUCAGAGAUAGAGUUAUCUCUGGUGCAAUGUACACACUCAUCCUUCAGUACCAAGAAAACUUUGUCUCGGGCGAGUACCUUGGAAGUUUGUAGGCGGCUGGUAGAAAAAUAUCCUUGUUUUUUUGAAACUCUGGCUUUGAGAACAAUUAAAACAGAAGUUUCGAAACGGACGUAGAAAGAAGACGAGGAAAGGGUUAUCAUUCCUAGACAUCCGUCUGAGAGCAGUGCUGCUAAGAACAGAAAGCGCAGAUAUGCGGAAAUGUAUGAGCAGAUGGAUCCAAAAGGACACUCCAUCAGUGGAUCAUAUCAUAUCAAAAUAUUCCCUUCACUUGGAGAAUCACGUUCAAUCCGUAGAGAGCUCACACGAGUCACCCAAAGCGAUAAAAACGUUGACUUUUUAAAAAACUGGGGAAGUUGGGUUGAAAAGGUUUUGGCUUGGGGACACCAUGAGAAAAAGGGAUUCCGUGAAAAAGCUCUGUACCCUUUUCUCUGAACAGGAGCAAUCACAAGGUGUUAGUGGUGUCUAUGCACUAACAGCACUUCUGGCAAAUAAAAGCAAGGACGGGAUUGUGAUCGAGUUGAAUAUGUAACGAUGCACUUCUUUUACAACGUUAUGAAGAUUGGACAUCGAUCAGCUGAACACUAACAAUUGUAACGUAUGCUGGACUCUUCCUUGCACUUUGUCUUACAGUUGCAUAAUAAAUGAAUAUAUUUUGACAUCGUGAU